rnacentral:rRNA from 1 species
UGUUUCGGCUAGGGGGCCAUCCCGGCUUACCAACCCGAUGCAAACUGCGAAUACCGGAGAAUGUUAUCACGGGAGACACACGGCGGGUGCUAACGUCCGUCGUGAAGAGGGAAACAACCCAGACCGCCAGCUAAGGUCCCAAAGUCAUGGUUAAGUGGGAAACGAUGUGGGAAGGCCCAGACAGCCAGGAUGUUGGCUUAGAAGCAGCCAUCAUUUAAAGAAAGCGUAAUAGCUCACUGGUCGAGUCGGCCUGCGCGGAAGAUGUAACGGGGCUAAACCAUGCACCGAAGCUGCGGCAGCGACACUUUAGUGUUGUUGGGUAGGGGAGCGUUCUGUAAGCCGUUGAAGGUGUCCUGUGAGGGGUGCUGGAGGUAUCAGAAGUGCGAAUGCUGACAUAAGUAACGAUAAAGCGGGUGAAAAGCCCGCUCGCCGGAAGACCAAGGGUUCCUGUCCAACGUUAAUCGGGGCAGGGUGAGUCGACCCCUAAGGCGAGGCCGAAAGGCGUAGUCGAUGGGAAACGGGUUAAUAUUCCCGUACUUGGUGUUAC